UACGUAGGGUGCGAGCGUUGCCCGGAUUUAUUGGGCGUAAAGCGUACCGAUAGGUGGUUUUGAUAGUUUUGGGUAAAAGCCAGAAGCUCAACUUCUGCGUUUGCUCAAAAUACUUCAAGACUAGAGGGACAAAGAGGUUGCUGGAGCAAACGGUGUAGUAGUGAAAUGCGUUGAUAUCGUUUGGAACACCGAAAGCGAAGGCAGGCAACUGGGUGUCACCUGACACUGCUAGGACGAAAGCGUGGGGAGCGAAUGGG
rnacentral:rRNA from 1 species